UGGAUAGACUAGGAGUCUGAAAUCUAUUUAUCUGCAGAAGCACAAUACAGAAGCUUGCACUGUUCCUGUCUGCAUGCUUUCCUACUAAUAUACCUCAUGCAUAAUACCUCAAGAGGUGAGAGGGAGGAGUUCUGUCUCCAGUCCCAUUGGAUCCUUGGAUUUU
rnacentral:sRNA from 1 species